rnacentral:rRNA from 1 species
AGAGUUUGAUCCUGGCUCAGAUUGAACGCUGGCGGCAGGCCUAACACAUGCAAGUCGAGCGGUAGCACAGAGAGCUUGCUCUCGGGUGACGAGCGGCGGACGGGUGAGUAAUGUCUGGGAAACUGCCUGAUGGAGGGGGAUAACUACUGGAAACGGUAGCUAAUACCGCAUAACGUCGCAAGACCAAAGUGGGGGACCUUCGGGCCUCAUGCCAUCAGAUGUGCCCAGAUGGGAUUAGCUGGUAGGUGGGGUAACGGCUCACCUAGGCGACGAUCCCUAGCUGGUCUGAGAGGAUGACCAGCCACACUGGAACUGAGACACGGUCCAGACUCCUACGGGAGGCAGCAGUGGGGAAUAUUGCACAAUGGGCGCAAGCCUGAUGCAGCCAUGCCGCGUGUGUGAAGAAGGCCUUCGGGUUGUAAAGCACUUUCAGCGGGGAGGAAGGCGGUGAGGUUAAUAACCUCACCGAUUGACGUUACCCGCAGAAGAAGCACCGGCUAACUCCGUGCCAGCAGCCGCGGUAAUACGGAGGGUGCAAGCGUUAAUCGGAAUUACUGGGCGUAAAGCGCACGCAGGCGGUCUGUCAAGUCGGAUGUGAAAUCCCCGGGCUCAACCUGGGAACUGCAUUCGAAACUGGCAGGCUAGAGUCUUGUAGAGGGGGGUAGAAUUCCAGGUGUAGCGGUGAAAUGCGUAGAGAUCUGGAGGAAUACCGGUGGCGAAGGCGGCCCCCUGGACAAAGACUGACGCUCAGGUGCGAAAGCGUGGGGAGCAAACAGGAUUAGAUACCCUGGUAGUCCACGCUGUAAACGACGUCGAUUUGGAGGUUGUGCCCUUGAGGCGUGGCUUCCGGAGCUAACGCGUUAAAUCGACCGCCUGGGGAGUACGGCCGCAAGGUUAAAACUCAAAUGAAUUGACGGGGGCCCGCACAAGCGGUGGAGCAUGUGGUUUAAUUCGAUGCAACGCGAAGAACCUUACCUGGUCUUGACAUCCACAGAACUUUCCAGAGAUGGAUUGGUGCCUUCGGGAACUGUGAGACAGGUGCUGCAUGGCUGUCGUCAGCUCGUGUUGUGAAAUGUUGGGUUAAGUCCCGCAACGAGCGCAACCCUUAUCCUUUGUUGCCAGCGGUUAGGCCGGGAACUCAAAGGAGACUGCCAGUGAUAAACUGGAGGAAGGUGGGGAUGACGUCAAGUCAUCAUGGCCCUUACGACCAGGGCUACACACGUGCUACAAUGGCAUAUACAAAGAGAAGCGACCUCGCGAGAGCAAGCGGACCUCAUAAAGUAUGUCGUAGUCCGGAUUGGAGUCUGCAACUCGACUCCAUGAAGUCGGAAUCGCUAGUAAUCGUAGAUCAGAAUGCUACGGUGAAUACGUUCCCGGGCCUUGUACACACCGCCCGUCACACCAUGGGAGUGGGUUGCAAAAGAAGUAGGUAGCUUAACCUUCGGGAGGGCGCUUACCACUUUGUGAUUCAUGACUGGGGUGAAGUCGUAACAAGGUAGCCGUA